rnacentral:rRNA from 1 species
UAGUGAAUCUUCCACAAUGGACGAAAGUCUGAUGGAGCAACGCCGCGUGAGUGAAGAAGGGUUUCGGCUCGUAAAGCUCUGUUGGUAGUGAAGAAAGAUAGAGGUAGUAACUGGCCUUUAUUUGACGGUAAUUACUUAGAAAGUCACGGCUAACUACGUGCC